rnacentral:rRNA from 1 species
UACGUAGGGGGCAAGCGUUGUCCGGAAUCAUUGGGCGUAAAGCGCGUGUAGGCGGCCCGGUAAGUCCGCUGUGAAAGUCCAGGGCUCAACCCUGGGAUGCCGGUCGAUACUGCCGGACUAGAGUUCGGAAGAGGCGAGUGGAAUUCCCGGUGUAGCGGUGAAAUGCGCAGAUAUCGGGAGGAACACCUAUGGCGAAGGCAGCUCGCUGGGACGUUACUGACGCUGAGACGCGAAAGCGUGGGGAGCAAACAGG